rnacentral:rRNA from 1 species
UACGUAGGGGGCAAGCGUUGUCCGGAUUUAUUGGGCGUAAAGAGCGUGUAGGCGGCUUGGUAGGUCUGCUGUGAAAACUCGGGGCUCAACCCCGAGACGUCGGUGGAAACCACCUGGCUAGAGUCCGGAAGAGGAGAGUGGGAUUCCUGGUGUAGCGGUGAAAUGCGCAGAUAUCAGGAAGAACACCAACGGCGAAGGCAGCUCGCUGGGACGGUACUGACGCUGAGACGCGAAAGCGUGGGGAGCGAACAGG